rnacentral:rRNA from 1 species
UCCUUGGUGAUUCAUGAUAACCUCUCAGAUCGCACGGCCUUGCGCCGGGCGACGGUUCAUUCAAAUUUCUGCCCUAUCAACUUUCGAUGGUAAGGUAUUGGCUUACCAUGGUUUCAACGGGUAACGGGGAAUUAGGGUUCGAUUCCGGAGAGCGAGCCUGAGAGACGGCUAGCACAUCCAAGGAAGGCAGCAGGCGCGCAAAUUACCCAAUCCCGACACGGGGAGGUAGUGACAAUACAUACUGAUACAGGGCUCUUUUGGGUCUUGUAAUUGGAAUGAGUACAAUUUAAACCUCUUAACGAGGAACAAUUGGAGGGCAAGUCUGGUGCCAGCAGCCGCGGUAAUUCCAGCUCCAAUAGCGUAUAUUAAAGUUGUUGCAGUUAAAAAGCUCGUAGUUGACCAUUUGGCCUGGCUGGCAGGUCCGUCUCACCGCGUGCACUUGCCCGGCCGGGCCUUUCCUCCUGGAGAACCGCAUGCCCUUCACUGGGCGUGUCGGGGACCAGGACUUUUACUUUGAAAAAAUUAGAGUGUUCAAAGCAGGCCUUUGCUCGGAUACGUUAGCAUGGAAUAAUGGAAUAGGACGUGCGGUCCUAUUUUGUUGGUUUCUAGGACCGCCGUAAUGAUUAAUAGGGACAGUCGGGGGCAUCAGUAUUCAAUUGUCAGAGGUGAAAUUCUUGGAUUUAUUGAAGACUAACUACUGCGAAAGCAUUUGUCAAGGAUGUUUUCAUUAAUCAGUGAACGAAAGUUAGGGGAUCGAAGACGAUCAGAUACCGUCGUAGUCUUAACCAUAAACUAUGCCGACUAGGGAUCGGGCGGUGUUAUUCAUUUGACCCGCUCGGCACCUUGCGAGAAAUCAAAGUG